rnacentral:rRNA from 1 species
GACAGAGGAUGCAAGCGUUAUCCGGAAUGAUUGGGCGUAAAGCGUCUGUAGGUGGCUUUUUAAGUCUGCCGUCAAAUCCCAGGGCUUAACCCUGGACAGGCGGUGGAAACUACCAAGCUGGAGUACGGUAGGGGCAGGGGGAAUUUCCGGUGGAGCGGUGAAAUGCGUAGAGAUCGGAAAGAACACCAACGGCGAAAGCACUCUGCUGGGCCGACACUGACACUGAGGGACGAAAGCUAGGGGAGCGAAUGGG